CAUGAAGCUGGAAUCGCUAGUAAUCGCGAAUCAGAAUGUCGCGGUGAAUACGUUCCCGGGUCUUGUACACACCGCCCGUCACACCAUGGGAGUCGGAAAUGCCCAAAGUCAGUGACCUAACCGAAAGGGAGGAGCUGCCGAAGGUGGAGCCGGUAACUGGGGCUAAGUCGUAACAAGGUAUC
rnacentral:rRNA from 1 species